UCUCCGUUCGUCUGUCAGAGAAGGACGCUUUCCUUUGCUUCUAAAGCUAACUCAGUCACAUUCUGUCAGCUCAAAGGACACCGAGCAGAAGGACCGUUCAUAAGGAAAGUCCUUGACUUAAUAAGCAAAGGAAAAAUGUAUGCUGCGGUUCCUGAAGAUCUCUGAUUUAAGUUUAAACAAAGAAGGCUUCUUUGAAAGGUCCAAGUAAGAAAUGCCAAGCUAAGGAGGAUGGAGCUGGCCUGGGAGCUUUGUGAGUUAUCAGGGGCAUCCCUCAAGUCACAGGAGCUCCACUGACAAACAAAUGGGAAAUACCAGGAAAGCAAUGCUUGCCAGCUGCAAAGAUGUCAGGCUCAGACUCCUUUUGAAGUUAAUAGGAGGUGACUAAACUGAGGCCGAGAGAGAUUUUGGUGAAAAUAAGAGCACACAGCAGGUGACCUCAACAAGAUGUUCUUCCUUCAGAGAAGAUUUCUGUAGGGGCCCAGUUAUUACAGAAUACAGUCUCCCCUCCUGCAUUCAGCGAGAUUAUUAGAGACCCUGAGCGAAUACGACAUCGCGUCUCCCGUCCGAGUGAACGCUCUUGGAGAACCCUUUCCCAGGAACGUACACUUCAAAAGAAGGCGACGAAGCAUUAACUCUGCCUCUGACCCCUGGCCUGGCUUCGCCUCCUCCUCUUCCUCCGCUACCUCCUCCCAGGAGCAUUACCGCCUCUCCGCCUUUGGCCAGCAAUUUCUAUUUAAUCUCACCGCCCAUGCUGGAUUUAUCGCUCCAAUGUUCACUGUCACCCUCCUUGGGGCACCCGGGGUGAACCAGACUAAGUUUUAUUCCGAGGAGGAAGCGGAACUCAAGCACUGUUUCUACAAAGGCCAUGUCAAUACCAAGUCAGAGCACAGGGCCGUCAUCAGCCUCUGCUCGGGAAUGCUGGGCACAUUUCGGUCCCAUGAUGGGGAUUAUUUUAUUGAACCACUACUGUCCAUUGAUGAACAAGAAGAUGAAGAGGCGCAGAACAAACCCCACAUUAUCUACAGGCACAGCAGCCCCCAUAGAGAGCCGGCAGCAGGACGGCAUGCAUGUGACACCUCAGAACAUAGAAAUAGUCACAGUAAGGACAAGAGGAAAACGAGGACAAGAAAAUGGAGAGGGAGGAGUAGCCUGGCUGAUGACAUGGCUGUGUUAAGUAGCAGCUUAACCACAAGCACGCUUCCUGCCAAUGGUAGCAAAACAGACAGCACACGGGAGAAGGGGACCCACAGAAGAACAAAACGUUUUUUAUCCUAUCCACGGUUUGUAGAAGUGAUGGUGGUAGCAGACAACAGAAUGGUUUUAUACCAUGGAGCAAACCUUCAACAUUAUAUUUUAACUUUAAUGUCAAUUGUAGCCUCUAUCUAUAAAGACCCAAGUAUUGGAAAUUUAAUUAAUAUUGUUAUUGUGAAUUUAGUUGUGAUUCAUAAUGAACAGGAAGGACCUUCCAUAUCUUUUAAUGCUCAGACAACAUUAAAAAACUUUUGCCAGUGGCAGCAUUCAAAGAACCAUCCAGGUGGAAUCCAGCAUGAUACAGCGGUUCUUGUAACGAGACAGGAUAUCUGCAGAGCUCAUGACAAAUGUGAUACAUUAGGUCUGGCUGAGCUGGGAACCAUUUGUGACCCAUACAGAAGCUGCUCUAUCAGUGAAGAUAGCGGAUUGAGUACAGCUUUUACAAUAGCCCAUGAGCUGGGCCAUGUGUUCAACAUGCCUCAUGAUGACAACAAUAAGUGCAAAGAAGAAGGAAUCAAGAGCCCCCAGCACGUCAUGGCCCCAACAUUGAACUUCAACACCAACCCCUGGAUGUGGUCAAAGUGCAGUCGAAAAUAUAUCACUGAAUUUUUAGACACUGGUUACGGCGAAUGUUUGCUUAACGAACCUGAAUAUAGACCCUAUCCUUUGCCUCAUCAACUGCCAGGCCUCCUCUACAACGUGAAUAAACAAUGUGAAUUGAUUUUUGGACCAGGUUCUCAGGUGUGCCCAUAUAUGAUGCAGUGCAGACGGCUCUGGUGCAAUAACGUGGAUGGGGCGCACAAAGGCUGCCGGACUCAGCACACACCCUGGGCUGACGGAACCGAGUGUGAAGAGCCUGGAAAGCACUGCAAGUUUGGAUUUUGUGUUCCCAAAGAAAUGGAGGUCCCUGUGACUGAUGGAUCCUGGGGAAGUUGGAGUCACUUUGGAACCUGCUCAAGAACAUGUGGAGGGGGCAUCAAAACAGCCAUUCGAGAGUGCAACAGACCAGAGCCCAAAAAUGGUGGCAAGUAUUGUGUAGGGCGCAGAAUGAAAUUUAAGUCCUGCAACACAGAGCCGUGUCCCAAGCAGAAGCGAGACUUCCGAGACGAACAGUGUGCUCACUUUGACGGAAAGCAUUUCAACAUCAACGGUCUACAUCCGAAUGUGCGCUGGGUCCCAAAGUACAGUGGAAUUUUGAUGAAGGACCGCUGCAAGCUGUUCUGCAGGGUGGCAGGGAGCACAGCCUACUAUCAGCUCCGUGACAGAGUGAUAGAUGGAACACCGUGUGGCCAGGACACCAAUGACAUCUGUGUCCAAGGCCUGUGCCGGCAAGCUGGAUGCGAUCAUGUUUUAAACUCAAAAGCCCGGAGAGAUAAAUGUGGGGUUUGUGGUGGCGAUAAUUCUUCAUGCAAAACAGUGGCAGGAACAUUUAACACAGUACAUUAUGGUUACAACGUUGUGGUACUAAUUCCAGCUGGUGCUACCAAUAUCGAUGUGCGGCAGCACAGUUUCUCAGGGAAAUCAGAGGAUGAUAACUACUUAGCUUUAUCAAGCAGUAAAGGUGAAUUCUUGCUCAAUGGAGACUUUGUCGUCACGAUGUCCAAAAGGGAAAUCCGUAUUGGGAAUGCUGUGAUAGAAUACAGCGGGUCCGACAAUGUUGUGGAAAGAAUCAACUCCACAGGUCGCAUUGAACAAGAACUUCUGCUUCAGGUGUUGUCGGUGGGAAAGUUAUACAACCCCGAUGUGCGCUAUUCUUUCAAUAUUCCUAUUGAAGACAAACCCCAACAGUUUUACUGGAACAGUCAUGGACCCUGGCAAGCAUGCAGCAAACCCUGCCAAGGCGAGCGGAAACGAAAACCUGUUUGCACCAGGGAAUCUGAUCAGCUUACGGUUUCUGAUCAAAGAUGUGAUCGACUGCCUCAGCCGGCACCCAUUACUGAACCUUGUGGCACAGACUGUGACCUGAGGUGGCACGUGGCCAGCAGGGGUGAAUGUAGUGCCCAGUGUGGUUUAGGUUACCGCACAUUAGACAUCUACUGUGCCAAGUACAGCAGGCUCGAUGGGAAGACUGAGAAGGUUGAUGACGGCUUUUGUAGUAGUCACCCCAAACCAAGCAACCAGGAAAAAUGCUCAGGAGAGUGUAACACUGGAGGCUGGCGCUAUUCAGCUUGGACUGAAUGUUCUAAAAGCUGUGAUGGUGGAACCCAGAGGAGAAGGGCUAUUUGUGUCAACACCCGUAAUGAUGUACUGGAUGACAGCAAAUGCACUCAUCAAGAGAAAGUCACCAUUCAGAAGUGCAGUGAGUUAUCCUGUCCAGAGUGGAAAUCAGGAGACUGGUCAGAGUGCUUGGUCACCUGCGGAAAAGGGCAUAAGCACCGCCAGGUCUGGUGUCAGUUUGGCGAAGAUCGAUUAAAUGAUAGGAUCUGUGACCCUGAGACCAAACCAACCUCCAUGCAGACCUGUCAGCAGCCAGAAUGUGCGUCCUGGCAGGCGGGUCCCUGGGGACAGUGCAGUGUCACUUGUGGACAGGGAUACCAGCUAAGAGCAGUGAAGUGCACCAUUGGGACUUACAUGUCAGUGGUGGAUGACAGUGACUGCAACGCAGCGACUAGACCAACUGACACCCAGGACUGUGAGUUGCCAUCUUGUCACCCUCCCCCAGCUGCCCCGGAAGCAAGGAGAAGCACACACAGUGCACCACGGACCCAGUGGCGAUUUGGGUCCUGGACUCCAUGCUCAGCCACUUGUGGAAAAGGUACCCGGAUGAGAUAUGUCAGCUGUCGGGAUGAGGACGGUUCUGUGGCUGAUGACAGUGCCUGUGCGACCCUGCCUAGACCAGUGGCAAAGGAGGAAUGUUCUGUGACUCCCUGCGGGCAAUGGAAGGCCCUGGACUGGAACCCUUGCUCCGUGACAUGUGGGCAAGGUAGGACGACCCGGCAAGUGGUCUGUGUCAACUACAGUGACCACGUGAUCGAUCAAAGUGAGUGCGACCCAGAUUAUGUCCCAGAAACUGACCAGGACUGUUCCAUGUCACCAUGCCCUCAGUGGACCCCAGACACAGACCUUUCUCAGAACCCUUUCCUGAAUGAGGACUAUCACCCCAGGAGCAUCAGCCCUAGCCGCACCCACGUGCUCGGAGGAAAUCAGUGGAGGACAGGCCCCUGGGGAGCGUGUUCCAGUACCUGUGCUGGUGGGUCCCAGCGGCGUGUCGUUGUGUGUCAGGACGAGAAUGGAUACACUGCCAACGACUGCGUGGAGAGAAUCAAACCUGAUGAGCACAGAGCCUGCGAAUCUGGCCCUUGCCCUCAGUGGGCUUAUGGCAGCUGGGGAGAGUGUACCAAGCUGUGUGGUGGAGGCUUGAGAACAAGGCUGGUGGUCUGUCAGAGGCCCAGCGGGGAACGAUUUCCGGAUCUGAGCUGUGAAAUUCUUGACAAGCCUCCAGAUCGAGAGCAAUGUAACACACAUGCUUGUCCUCAAGAUGCUGCCUGGAGUGCUGGCCCUUGGAGUUCGUGUUCUGUCUCUUGUGGUCGAGGGCAUAAACAACGAAAUGUUUACUGCAUGGCAAAAGAUGGAAGCCAUUUAGAAAGUGAUUACUGUAAACACCUUGCUAAGCCAAAUGGGCACAGAAAGUGCCGAGGAGGAAGAUGCCCCAAGUGGAAGGCUGGCGCCUGGAGUCAGUGCUCCGUGUCCUGUGGCCAAGGCGUGCGGCGGAGAAAUGUGGGCUGUCAGAUGGGAACGCACAAAAUAGCCAGAGAGACCGAAUGCAACCCCUACACUCGACCGGAGUCGGAGCGCGCCUGCCAAGCCCCGCCGUGUCCGCUCUACGCAUGGAGGGCAGAGGAAUGGCGAGAAUGCACCAAGACUUGUGGUGAAGGCUCCAGGUACCGGAAGGUGGUAUGUGUGGAUGAGGACAAAGGUGGUGAGGUUCACGGCAUGCACUGCGACAUGAGCACACGGCCUGUGGACCGUGAGAGCUGUAGUCUGCAGCCCUGCGAGUAUGUCUGGAUCACAGGAGAAUGGUCAGAGUGCUCAGUGACCUGUGGAAAAGGCUACAAACAAAGGCUGGUCUCCUGUAGUGAGAUUUACACCGGGAAGGAGAAUUACGAGUACAGCUACCAAACCACCAUCAACUGCCCAGGCAUGCAGCCACCCAGUGUCCAGCCCUGCUUCCUGCGAGAGUGCCCUGUGUCGGCCACCUGGAGAGUGGGCAACUGGGGGAGCUGCUCCGUGUCGUGUGGCGUGGGAGUGAUGCACAGGUCUGUGCAGUGUCUCACCAAUGACGACCAGCCCAGCCACUUAUGCUCUGCUGACCUGAAGCCAGAAGAAAGAAAAACCUGCCACAAUAUCUAUAACUGUGAGCUGCCCCAGAACUGUAAGGAAGUGAAAAGGCUGAAAGGUGCCGGCGAAGAUGGGGAAUACUUCCUGAUUGUCACAGGAAAGCUCCUGAAGGUCUUCUGUGCAGGGAUGCACUCUGACCACCCCAAGGAGUAUGUGACACUGGUCCAUGGCGACUCUGAGAAUUUUUCUGAGGUUUACGGGCACAGGUUGCACAACCCAACCGAAUGCCCCUACAACGGGAGCCGACGUGAUGACUGUCAGUGUCGGAAGGACUACACAGCGGCUGGGUUCUCCAGCUUCCAGAAGGUCAGAAUAGAUCUGACCACCAUGCAGAUCAUCACCACUGACUUACAAUUUGCCAGGACCAAUGAAGGACAUCCCGUCCCCUUUGCCACUGCUGGGGACUGCUACAGUGCCGCCAAGUGCCCACAGGGUCGUUUUAGCAUCAACCUUUACGGAACCGGUUUGUCUCUAACUGAAUCUGCCAGAUGGAUCUCCCAAGGGAAUUACGCCGUCUCUGACAUCAAGAAGUCUCCGGAUGGUAUCCGGGUCAUCGGGAAAUGUGGUGGUUACUGUGGAAAAUGUGCUCCGUCCUCUGGCACUGGCCUGGAGAUUCGAGUUUUAUAGUUAAGAGAUUGAUGGUGUCCUGGAAAAUGAGAGCUUUCCAAAGAGAUCUAAAGAACAGCUAAUAGGGGUGUGUGAUGCUUUCUUACCACAGAUCAUGGCUAUUCAAACUGUGUCCCAUAGACCAACAGCAUUGACAUUACCUGGGAGCGUGUUCAAAAUGCAGAAUCUUGGGCCGCAGCCGAGACCUACUGAAUCAGAAGCUACAUUUAAGAAGAUAACCCAGGCUCCUUCCCUCCGGAUUUCAUUCUGUUUAUAAAUAUUGAAGCUGAAAUGUAAACCACUUUGAAACUCUUCUCCCGAAGGCCUGCAUGUCCUGUUCCUGGAACAGUGGGACGACAAAAGGCAACUGGGUAUCUUGCAGUGCCACCUCCGAGCUGAGUGAUCCAGGGCACGUUGCUUCCGAUGUCUGAGCCCCAGUUUCCCCAUCACUAAGGUACCUACAGCAGACAAGAAAUAUGCAUUAUAAAAUACAGCUCUUCUAGUAUCACCUACGGGGUGCUCUAACUAUGCAGCCGCCACUAGACUGUGACAUCAUCAUUGAAAAUUAGCAAAAGAUACCCCUUUUCAGAGUUCACAGCUCCACAAACAAACAGCUUGAGAAAGGGCCAUCUGGUUUGAUGAUUUUUUGGCUUGGAGGAGAGAACACGAAAGACAAGUAUAAGCUUUAAUACUCAAGAGACCUGAUUCUCUGCUGAAGAGGAAAUGAACUCCAUAUCCAGGAGAAUUCUGCCAGGAAGGAGCCAAAUAGACCAUGCUCUCUGGAGGGUUCUCAGCGGUGCUGUGAACACCAUUUUAACUCUCCUUUUGGUCGUUUCCAAGGAUUGAGAGAAAUACCAGUUCCUAUAUCAAACUACUGUCCUCAUUUGCAGGAUGCUUUUCAAGCACAGAGUAAGGCAACUGGUGAAAUACCAGGAAGCUCCUUUACUCUCCUUUUCAUGAUUCCUAUUCCUGUGACCAAAGGCGUGACAGGAAAACAGUGUAACCACGACUUGAGAGCAAGGGGCAGCCUUGAAGACAGUACUAUGUGGACAGAUCCCUGAGGUCUCCUGCAAUUGUGUAGGAAGAGGGCAUCAGUGGCUUCACUUGGUUUAACAGUCACAGCUUUAGACAAGAAAAAAAUGUAAAAGUCAAAAUGCGAAAGACAGGCACAUGUAGACCAAGAGAAGGAGAGAUAAACAGCCCUUUGCUUCACUUGAUCCACAUUUGAUGUUAGAAGGCUUCAGACAACAAGGACACAAUUCUCAAUCUAGUUGACCGGACUGGGGCGGAUCGAGAGAGGCCAGCCAUGUAACGCCUGUGGUGACCAGUGCCCAGGGUUUGCCUUGCAUAAAUGGAGAACCUUAGACCUAGGAAGCCUCUUGGAGACUACCUGGAAUAUCCGGUUGAGAACACUGAUUGGCAGGGAGAGGAAGUUCACUAUUCUAAGCAAACGUUUUUACUGGCAGAUCCAAGACCAGAAUUUGGAUCUAAUGUGGUGGUUUCCAAAGGCCCAGGUCCUGUAUGAGGACUCCAGAGCGCCUGCUGUAAAGAUGUUUUGGAAUCCCACCUCUGUCACUGCCCAGUUG